ACGAUAGCAUCACCGCGCAAUAAUCUCCCAGGAGGACUAGCGUUGGUUCGCAUGCAUGUUGCUAUCUGCUCCCAGAGAGCAGGUAUCCGCUGAAGCUUCACCUGUCAGCGGGGUGAUCUGUCGAUCCGGAGGCUCGGUUUUUGUGCACGCAUAAACCACCUCUUGUUGUCUUGUUCAUCUGCUGCCCAAGGAUAAAGAGGACAACCCCAAAAGGUGCAGAUUUGGACAAAGGAUUUGUCCAAAGGUGGAUCAACAGAGACGUUCUCCUUCACGUGUUCUCCUCCAUUUGGUUGAAUUUGAUAAAAGGACUAAAGUUUAACAUUCCACAGCCCCAAAAACAUAAAAAAUAUAGGUAUAUGUCCUGUUGCCAUCCUGCUCUUCAACUCACUUUUUAAAAUUAAUUACAUUAUUUGUUAAAUACAACUGCCUUUUGCUGUUUCAUGGACAGUGGUGAUGUCUCUUUGUAAUUGGUGCGAUUCCUGAUGGGAAUAUCUGCCUGCUCACCAAUAUGCACGAUAUGUAGCUGUAGCGUGUUAAAGACAACACGGGGGCAGCAGUUAUCACACAACUGAACAUGAUAACAUAAAAUACUUUGUACCAAUACGACAAUCCUGUGUGUAGAUGUGUUUCGAUGUUUCAUCUCCUUCUCUACGUAUUUAGCAGCUUCUCUGCAAGUCCACUUUGAAUAAACGCUGCUGUUUUACACGUCCACCAAACAAGAUAAACUGGCUUGUCUGCUUCAUCUACUAGCCGUGCUAAGCCCAGCGGUGUGUUUAUCAGCGAUAGAAGUUUGAAUUUAAAGUCCCUCUGCACCAGAUCUGCUUCUAUUGCAGUUCUUGGUGGCAAAUCUUCACCUUAUCUAGGCAGAUUAACCAGGCAGGUUAACCAGAUAGGAAAUGCCAGGUUUCAAGGUAGCACAGCUGCGAUGUCGCUACAUUUAAUCGCUGCUAUUAAAUGAAUCGAUCAGAUCUAGUUCUAGAUCCGACCUGGCCGUUGUUCUAGUCCAGAAUACAUUUAAAAAGGUUACAAUGCAGAACCUGGACAUGGUUGCUGGACAGAUACUUGUAGACCACUAAAAGGCAAUAGACAUAUAUAUUUUUGCUUCAAAAUGUAAAUAUUUCAUAGUUUAUUUGCUUUGAAGACAAGUAGAAUUAUGGACAAAGAAAAAUGUUUCGUAAUUUUUACAAUUUUCUGACAUUUUAUGAGUCCAAAUGCUUCUGUGCUCAACUUUUGUGGUGCAAACAGCAACAGAAUUAAAGUCAAUAGAGUAGUUGUUAGUUGCAGUCCUGGAAUAUGACUUUAAAUCCAUUUAUCGGUCCCAAAUGGUGAAUCUGAUGAUACAUUUACUAUCUGUUACAUUUUGGAGCCCAGUUAGCUGUUGUUUACCCACAUUGAAACCUUUUUAUUCCAAUAGUCAUUCAGAUUGAGAGUACACACAGUAAUCUGUCACUUCUCCCCCUGUUGCUGCUGCCCUCCUACACCCGGACGACAGGCUGAGUAAGCUCUGCUGCUCUAUCA
rnacentral:lncRNA from 1 species